GACGAACGCUGGCGGCGUGCUUAACACAUGCAAGUCAAACGGAAAGGCCCUGCUUUUGUGGGGUGCUCGAGUGGCGAACGGGUGAGUAACACGUGAGUAACCUGCCCUUGACUUUGGUAUAACUUCAGGAAACUGGGGCUAAUACCGGAUAGGAGCUCCUGCUGCAUGGUGGGGGUUGGAAAGUUUCGGCGGUUGGGGAUGGACUCGCGGCUUAUCAGCUUGUUGGUGGGGUAGUGGCUUACCAAGGCUUUGACGGGUAGCCGGCCUGAGAGGGUGACCGGCCACAUUGGGACUGAGAUACGGCCCAGACUCCUACGGGAGGCAGCAGUGGGGAAUAUUGCACAAUGGGCGGAAGCCUGAUGCAGCAACGCCGCGUGCGGGAUGACGGCCUUCGGGUUGUAAACCGCUUUCGCCUGUGACGAAGCGUGAGUGGCGGUAAUGGGUAAAGAAGCACCGGCUAACUACGUG
rnacentral:rRNA from 1 species